CCGGCAGCUGCAGGGCACAAGAGGCCAUUUACAGGAGACCCCUGACCUGGCCGGCCUCUGCAUCGGAGAGGCCCCCAGGCACCAUCCGCCGCCCCCCCAGGGGCAGAGGCUGCAGGAAGAAAUCUCUCCCACUGAACAAAUUGCCCUGCUACUCACUGGCUUGUGGGUGACCCCGCAGGGUUCUUGUUCUGUCCGUGUCCCAUGGCUACAUAAUCCAGGGGGAGGCAAACUGUGGCCCAGAGACCAAAUCCUGCCUGCUGCCUUUUCUUAUAAAUAAAGUUUUAUUGGAACACGGCCACAUCCAUUCAUUUCUAUAUGUCAUGCUUUGAGCAGUUGUGACAGAGACUGUGUGGCCCACAGGCCUAAAAUAUGCACAAUCUGGUCAUUUAUGGAAAAAGUUAGUGAAUUUCUGAAAUAAAUUAUCAUCAAAUCCCAGCCUUCCCAGAGUGAAGGGGGUGUUAUUAAUUUCACUGUGGCCGGCACAGUGUCUCAUGCCUGUAAUCCCAGCACUUUAGGAAGCAGAGGUGGUAGGAUCACUUGAGGUCAGGAGUUUGAGACCAGCCUGGCCAACAUGGCAAAACCCUGCCUCUACCAAAAAAUACAAAAAUUAGCCAGGCGUGGUGGUGGGCGCCUGUAAUCACAGCUACUCGAGAGGCUAAGGCAGGAGAAUUGCUUGAACCCAGGAGGCGGAGGUUGCAGUGAACCAAGAUUGCACCACUGCACUCCAGCCUGGAUGACGGAGUAAGACUGUGUCUCAAAAAUAAUACUAAUUAUUACUAUUAUUAUUUCACUGUGAUAACAAGUGUAAUUAGAUUAGUGGUUCUUGAUCCUUAAGACGUAGUUAGAAUCGCCUGAAAGAUUUUCUAAAAAUCAAAGCUCUCAUGGCUUAGCCCAGAUCAACUAAAUUCAUCCUCACAAUUAGCUGCUAUAAUGAUUAACAUGCCCAUUUUGGAGAUGGGAACACGGAAGCUCAGAGAGAUGAUCUACUUGUCAGGAUCACCCAGCUAGUCAGUGCUGGGGCUGGGAUUUGGACCUGGGCAGUUGAAUGCCACAGGCUCGGCUUCUUACCACUAUGUGGGUGUUUUCCAGGUACACAGUUUGCCCAGAUUCUUCAUUGCAACAAGGGAGAGGGUCUUGGCCCGUGGCGUAAAAGAAGGAUGGGGUGGAGGGGGAAGCCCAGGUAACUUGAGCUUGGUAAGUCUCAUCGUGCAAUGGUGCUUGAAAUGUUGCUAUUUUCCAGCUUGAUCAAAAUGCUGUCAUGCUUAUUACCUGGGACUUUCUGCAUGAGGACAAGGACCUGGUCUGUUAGAGCAGGAGUCCUCAACCCCCAGGCCACAGACUGGUACCAGUCUGCAGCCUCUUAGGAACUGGGCCAUACAGCAGGAGGUGAGCGCAGGGCAGUUGACGGAAAGCAAGCUCAGGGCUCCCACUGGUUCUACGUUAUGGAGUCUCACUCUGUCGUCCAGGCUGCGGUGCAGUGAUGUGAUCUCAGCUCACUGCAACCUCCACCUCCCGGAUUCAAGUGAUUCUCCUGCCUCAGCCUCCCUAGUAGCUGGGAUUACAGGCACAUGCCACCAUGCCCAGCUAAUUUUUAUAUUUUCAGUAGAGACGGGGUUUUGCCAUGUUGGCCAGGCUGGUCUUGAACUCCUGACCUCAAGUGUUCUGCCGGCCUUGACCUCCCAAAGUGCUGGGAUUACAGGCAUGAGCCACCGUGCCCCGCCUGGUCUCAUCUGAUUUUUAGCAACGGUGGGGUCAACCUGAUUAAUUGCCCUGAAUUUUCCCGUGUUCUUCCUCUCUCCCUCUCUUUCUUCCUAAUGAUGACAUUUAUGUACUGCACAUGAAGCCCUGUCUGAGUGCCUUAUGUUUUAAUUGCUAAGCACCUGCCUAUUGUUUGCAAGGCCCUGGAAUACAAGGUGAAGACACUGGAAAAAGUCCUGGCCCCUAGCCCUAGCAAAAACAAUCAUAUGCAUGAGCAUUCGAGUUUUUUUUGGAAUAUUCAGCAAUUACAAUCAAAAUGCCAUUAACAGUUUUUACAAGGCCAGGCACAGUGGCUCAUGCCCGUAAUCCCAGCACUUUGGGAGGCUGAGGUGGGCAGAUCACCUGAGGUCAGGAGUUCAGGACCAGCCCAGCCAACAUGGUGAAACCCAGUUUCUACUAAAAAUACAAAAAUUAGCCAGAUGUCUUGGUGCACGCCUGUAAUCCCAGCUACUCAGGAGGCUGAGGCUGGAUAAUUGCUUGAACCUGGGAGGUGGAGGUUGCAGUGAGCCGAAGUUGUGCCAUUGCACCAAAGCCUGGGCAACACAGUGAGACUCUGUCUCAAAAAAAAAAAAAUCAAAAGGAUACUAUUUCAUGACAUAUGAAAAUGAUAUGCACUUCAAAUGUCAGCAUCCAUAAAUAGAGUUUUAUUGGAGGAAUACCAUGCCUGUUUGCUUAGUAUGGUCUACAGCCACUUCUGCACUCCAAGGGCAGAGAUGAAUAUUUGCAGGAGAGAUGGUGUGGCCUCCAGUGUAAAAAGCAUCUACUGUCUUAUCCUUUAUGGAAAAGUAACUAAUGAUAAUAUUACAAAUACCUACAGGGUGCAGUUGUGUGCCCGGCACCCUUUUAAGUGCUUUCUACAUAUGGGCUGGUUUAAUGCCUCAGCCCCUCUGGGGCAGGAGUGCUACUGUUAAUUAUGAUCCUCACGUUGGAGACAAGAACAGGAGGCACAGAGAGAGUAGGUUCCUUGCACACGGAUUCACAACUGGUAAGUGGUCAGAAGCAGGAUUUGAGCCUAGGCAGUUCCCGAUACAGAGUCUAAUUUUAUUUUUAUUUUUAUUUAUUUGUUGGAGACAGAGUCUCACUCUGUCACCCAGGCUGGAGUGCAGUGGCAUUAUCUCAGCUCACUGCAACUUCCACCUCCAAGGCUCAAGCGAUUCUCCUGCCUCAGCCUCCUGAGUGGAUGGGGUUAUAGGCACCCACCACUAUGCCCGGCUAAUUUUUGUAUCUUUCAGCAGAGACGGGGUUGGCCAGGCUGGUCUGGAACUCCUGGCCUCAAGUGAUCCACCCAUCUCAGCCCCCCAAUUGCUGAGAUUAUAGGCAUGAGCCACUGUGCCUGGCCCAGAGUCUGAUUUUAAUUUAAAAAAAGAAAAUCCUAUACCACAACGUUAAAGGAAUGAAGUUGGAAAGUAAAUGUUUUGUUUGUUUUGUUUGGUUGUUUCCUGAUGGCUACUUUGUGUUUUUUGAACACUAAGUAGCAAUUUUUCCCCCUAAAAUGUUCUCCUCUUGUGUUUUGUGGACAGUGGCUAUGGUGGUGCCCCAGGGUUACUGGUAACUUCAAAACAUGGUUAACUUGCCUACUGGGUACCCUAAUAGCACAUGGGGAAGUAUCAACGUCAUCGUCAUCAUCAUCAUCAUCUUUCUACAGAGGAAACUGAGGCCCAGAGACGGUGAACUUCCUGCCCAAGAGAUAGACGAAGCAGACCACGAUCCAGACGAGAGGCAGCCACAGCCCGUUGAGGUAGAGGAUGCUCUCGGUCAGCCGCUGCACGUCCACGGACACCAGGUUGACCACAUCACCCACCGCACUGGCCUUUCUGGAGCCACUGGACAGAGCCAGGACUUGGCGGGUGGGCAGAAGGAGAGAAGUAAAGUGGGGAGGCCGGGGCAGAGGGAUGCCCCAGGUGGCUUCUCCACCCACUGAGCCCCACUUCACGCGUCUGCGAGGUGGGUGAGUAAAGUCUCUUAGGCCAACCUCUCAGGGCUCUUUGAGGAUCCACAGAGAUGACAAAAAUGAAAAUCCCCCAAGAUCCCUAAAGCACGGGAGGCAUAAUAAUGAAUAACAUGCACGAAAACACCAGAUUAACACAGAUAACGGUGGUCAUCUGCCCAGUGCUCACCAUGUCGCAGGCACUGUGCUAAAUGAACAGCCUUAUCCUUCCCCGGGGUGCUCACAGCCAUGAAUGGUACCAAGCAGGCACUACCAUAUUCAUUCCCUCUAAUGCCAGGCCAGGUGCAGUGGCCUCUGCCUGUAAUCCCACCACUCUGGGAGGCUGAGGUGGGAGGAUUGCUUGAUCCCAGGAGUUCGAAACCAGCCCGGGCAACAUAGUAAGACCCAAGCUCUACAAAAUACUUUAAAAAAUUAGCCAGGGGGCCGGGUGCGGUGCCUCACGCCUGUAAUCCCAGCACUCUGGGAGGCCGAGGUGGACAGAUCACCUGAGGUCAGGAGGUGGAGACCAGCCUGGCCAACAUGGUGAAACCCUGUCUCUACCAAAAAUACAAAAAUUAGCCGGGCAUGGUGGCAGGCACCUGUAAUCCCAGCUACUUGGGAGGCUGAGGCAAGAGAAUCGCUUAAACCCAGGAGGCAGAGGUUGCAGUGAGCCCAGAUCAAGCCAUUGCAUUCCAGUCUGGGCAACAAGAGCAAAAUCCACUUCAGGGGGGGAAAAAAAGAAAAAAUUAGCCAGGCAUGGUUGUGGUGUGCCUGUGGUCCCAGCUAGCUACUGGGGAGGCUGAGGUGGGAGGAUUAAUUGAGUACAGGAGGUUGAGGCUGCAGUGAGCCAUGUUGGUGCCACUGCACUCUAGCCUGGGCAACAGAGCAAGACCCUGUCUUUAAAAAACAUUCUAUGGAUAAAUUGCUCUCUAUUAUUCUCUCACCAAGGAAAAUACCACUUCCAGUUAAAUUAAGACAUGUAAGAGACAUCUCGAUUUUGGAAGUAUUAGAGUGAAAAAAAAAUGUGAGACUAGAAUCAAUGAAAUGAACAUUUACUAACCCCAUUCUAUGGCUAAAGAAACCGAGGCAGAGAGAAGUUGAGCAACUUGCCCAAAGUCACAGCCCUUGUAAGCGCCUACACAAGGAAUGGAAUUCAGGGUGACGAAGGCAUGACAAGGGUGAGACCUUUCACGUGCUUCUGUGACACCAACCUGGUUCUCUGGCAGCCUCACAUCUGCCUUAACCCUGGGGUCACAGUGGACCUCUUCCAGCCUGUUGAAUGCUAAAUUCCACAUGCAGCCCUCCCUUUGUGACUGCGUGAGGGAGUGAAGAAGUGAUCCAGGAAUGACUGGACAUAGAAAUUCUCCACUUAGCAAGUCUUUGAAGAGUGCCCACUGUGUGACUCACACUGAGCUGGGAACUGAAAAUACAGCUGUGAACAACAGAGAUGAGGCUUGCUCUCCCGGGACUGGAGUUUGAGGUGGGGAACAAGGCUCUAUAAUAAAGAUUUAUAUAACUGGCUGGGCACAGUGGCUCACACCUGUAAUCCCAGCACUUUGGGAGGCUGAGGCGGAUGGAUUGCUUGAGGCCGGGAGUUCGAGAUCAGCCUGGCCAAUAUGGCAAAACCCCAUCUCUAGUAAAAAUACAAAAAUUAACUGGGCAUGCUGGUGGGCGCCUGUAAUCCCAGCUACUUGGGAGGGUGAGGCAGGACAAUUGCUUGAACCCAGGAGGCAGAGGUUGCAGUGAGCCAAGAUUGCACCACUGCACUACAGCCUGGGUGACAGAGUGAGACUCUGUCUCAAAAAAAAUAAGACAAAACAAAAACAUUUCUAUAACUCAUGCUUUAAUGGCAGUUAUGAUGAGUAACAUAAAGUAGCCCAGGCUGAGCGCGUUGGCUCAUGUCUGUAAUCCCAGCACUUUGGGAGGCUGAGGUGGGUGGAUCACCUGAGGUCAGGAGUUCGAUACCAGCUUGGCCAACAUGGUGAAACCCUGUCUACUAAAAAUACAAAAUUAGCCGGGCAUGGUGGCGCACACCUGUAAUCCCAGCUACUCAGGAAGCUGAGACAGGAGAAUCACUUGAACCCAGGGGGCGGAGGUUGUAGUGAGCCGAGACUGUGCCACUGCACUCCAGCCUGGGCAACAAGAGGGAAACUCUGUCAGAAAAAAAAAAAAAAAAAAGCCCAGAGGUUAGAGAGGAGGGAUCUGAUCUCAUCAGGAGAUCAAAGAAGGCCUCCUGGCGGGUGGGUGGGGAAUAGGAAGAUCAAUGCCUGCUCACCAGGCGGCCUUCCUCUUAGGCUCAAGGAAAUGUGGACUCUCAAGACAGGAUAGGGCACACCCAGCUCUGGCAUGCUCAGGGGAACAGCAGCCUGGGACGCAGCACUCUGGCAGGACAGCAUCAAGAGCUGCUUUCUCGGCCACCUAGGAGCUGUCCCCUCUGUCCCCUCCUCCCCUAGGUGACAGCUCAGGUGUCAGGGAAUGACACUUACAUGGGACGGGACCUGCCCUGGCUCAGAUGCUCCAUACCCCACAGGAGCCAAUAGCUCUUGGGGCAGCAGUCCAGGGACUUAGCUCCCAGAGUCCCGGGAAGGGACAAGAGCCACUGCACAGAGAGAAGUCUAAAGCUAUGGCCUCCAACCAGGUAUUCACAGUCAAUGGACAGAACUUCCAGCCCAGAUGCAAUUUGGGUUUUUUUGUUUUGUUUUGUUUUUCUUCUGAGACGAGGUCUCGCUCUCUUACCCAGGCUGCGCUGUAGUGGCAUGAUCUCAGUUCACUGCAACCUCCACCUCCCGGGUUCAAGCGAUUCUCCUGUGUCAGCUUCCCGAGUAGCUGGAAUUACAGGCACAUGCCACCAUGCCUGGCUAAUUUUUGUAUUUUUAGUAGAGAUGGGGUUUCGCCAUGUUGGCCAGGCUGGUCUUGAACUCCUGACCUCAAGUGAUCCGCCUGUCUCAGCCUCCCAAAUUGCUGGAAUUACAGGCGUGCACCACUGUGCCCAGCCUAGGGGUCAUUUUUACCUCAAGCAGUAUUGUCUGGGAACACAGCUGACAGGCCACCUUAUCAGAAGGUUAAUCCUUUAUCCUCAAGGGGGAAUGAGUGGAAGUUAAAAUCAGGCUCAAAAAUUAAAAUUAGAUUAGGGGGAGUAGAAGUGGUGCCUAGGCAGUGAGAACAGCUGCAAAGGCCCCAGGGUGGGUGGGGGCCUGGAGUGUUUGAGGAACUGAAAGGAGACCUGUGUGGCUGGAGGAGAGUGAGCAUGGGAGGAGGUGACGGGAUGAGGUCAGAGACACCCUAGGGACAGAUCACACAAGACCUUACAGGAAUAACUAAGGAGCUGAGACAGAUCACUUGAGGCUAGGAGUUCGAGACCAGCCUGACCAACAUGGCAAAACCUUGUCUCUACCAAAAAUAUAAAAAUUAGCUGGGCGUGGUGACACGUGUCUAUAGUCCCAGUUACUCAGGAGGCUGAGGCAGGAGAAUCACUUGAACCCGGGAGGCGGAGGUUGCAGUGAGCCGAGAUCGCACCACUGCACUCCAGCCUGGGUGACAGAGCAAGACUCCGUCUCAAAAAAAUAAAUACAUAUAAUACAGAGAAAUAACUAAGGAAGUGAGAAUGUAUGGUGAGUGACUCUAAUAAGCAAGGACUGAAUGCGUUCUCAGCUGCUGAUAACAUUACUGCCUGCUCAGUGAUACUGCUUUUCCUGGCUGGGAAGACCUGCCCUUGUCCCCCAGGGCUCACCUUUCUGUACACCAGGCCAGUGAUGGCCGACCGCAGCCUCAUCUGCAGCACCUUGAGCCUGUACAUGUUCUGCUGCUCAAACAGCGUUUGCAGGCAGGCCGAGAGGAACAUCAGCACGGCGAGGAGGUAGCCCUUCCAGGCUGGAGGCUUGGGAUCACCAAUAAACUCCAGGAAAAGGCUUGCAGGGGAAGGAGGGAGAAGAACCCUCCCAAGCAGCCACAUGAACAAGUCUGAGCUAGCCUUUUGGAGGAUGGGGACCCACAUGGAGCAGAGACAGCCAUCCCAGUCUCAGAUACACAACUGCAGGCACAUGAGAAAACCCAGCCAAGAAAAGAAGAACCACCCAGCUGAGCCCAGCCCACAUUACUGACCCACAUUACCAUGAACUAAAUAAAAGAAUGUUUGUCAUUUUAA